UACGAAGGGGGCUAGCGUUGCUCGGAAUCACUGGGCGUAAAGCGCACGUAGGCGGAUUGUUAAGUCAGGGGUGAAAUCCUGGAGCUCAACUCCAGAACUGCCUUUGAUACUGAGGAUCUUGAGUUCGGGAGAGGUGAGUGGAACUGCGAGUGUAGAGGUGAAAUUCGUAGAUAUUCGCAAGAACACCAGUGGCGAAGGCGGCUCACUGGCCCGGUACUGACGCUGAGGCACGAAAGCGUGGGGAGCAAACAGGG
rnacentral:rRNA from 1 species